rnacentral:rRNA from 1 species
UGGGGAAUUUUGGACAAUGGGCGAAAGCCUGAUCCAGCAAUGCCGCGUGUGUGAAGAAGGCCUUCGGGUUGUAAAGCACUUUUGUCCGGAAAGAAAUCCUUGGCUCUAAUACAGUCGGGGGAUGACGGUACCGGAAGAAUAAGCACCGGCUAACUACGUGCCAGCAGCCGCGGUAAUACGUAGGGUGCAAGCGUUAAUCGGAAUUACUGGGCGUAAAGCGUGCGCAGGCGGUUUGCUAAGACCGAUGUGAAAUCCCCGGGCUCAACCUGGGAACUGCAUUGGUGACUGGCAGGCUAGAGUAUGGCAGAGGGGGGUAGAAUUCCACGUGUAGCAGUGAAAUGCGUAGAGAUGUGGAGGAAUACCGAUGGCGAAGGCAGCCCCCUGGGCCAAUACUGACGCUCAUGCACGAAAGCGUGGGGGAGCAAACAGGAUUAGAUACCCCUGGUAGUCCACGCCCUAAACGAUGUCAACUAGUUGUUGGGGAUUCAUUUCCUUAGUAACGUAGCUAACGCGUGAAGUUGACCGCCUGGGGAGUACGGUCGCAAGAUUAAAACUCAAGGAAUUGACGGGGUCAUAGCUGUUUCCU